GUUGACCUCGGAUCAGGUAGGAAUACGCGCUGAACUUAAGCAUAUCAAUAAGCGCAGGAAAAGAAACCAACAGGGAUUACCUCAGUAACGGCGAGUGAAGCGGUAAUAGCUCAAAUUUGAAAUCUGGCCUCUCGGGGUCCGAGUUGUAAUUUGUAGAGGACGUUUUGGGUACCGCCCCGGUCUAAAUUUCUUGGAACAGAAUGUCAUAGAGGGUGAGAAUCCCGUCUUGGACCGGCGGUAGGGCCUGUGUAAAACUCCUUCGACGAGUCGAGUUGUUUGGGAAUGCAGCUCAAAAUGGGUGGUAAAUUUCAUCUAAAGCUAAAUAUUGGCCAGAGACCGAUAGCGCACAAGUAGAGUGAUCGAAAGAUGAAAAGCACUUUGAAAAGAGAGUUAAACAGUAUGUGAAAUUGUUGAAAGGGAAGCGCUUGCAACCAGACUUGAGCGCGGCGGUUCCCCCGGCCUUUUGGCCGGGCUACUCCGCCGUGUCCAGGCCAACAUCGGUUCUGAGGGUCGGUCAAAGGCCCCGGGAAUGUAUCUACCCACGGGUAGACUUAUAGACCGGGGUGUCAUGCGGCCUCUCGGGACCGAGGAACGCGCUUCGGCUCGGAUGUUGGCGUAAUGGUUGUCAGCGACCCGUCUUGAAACACGGACCAAGGAGUCUAACAUCUAUGCGAGUGUUUGGGUGUCAAACCCGGAACGCGAAAUGAAAGUGAACGGAGGUAGGAAGCUUCGGCUGCACUAUCGACCGAUCCUGAAGUUUACGGAAGGAUUUGAGUAAGAGCAUAGCUGUUGGGACCCGAAAGAUGGUGAACUAUGCCUGAAUAGGGUGAAGCCAGAGGAAACUCUGGUGGAGGCUCGCAGCGGUUCUGACGUGCAAAUCGAUCGUCAAAUUUGGGUAUAGGGGCGAAAGACUAAUCGAACCAUCAGAGACACACUGCGUUAUCAAAGGUGGAAGAACUUGAAAAGAUCCCUCAAAAUACGAGUAGGCGCGCCAGUUGAUGGGUCAUGGCUGACGCGUUCCAGAAGCUAAUGACUCCUGCGCCCGGCGCGAUCCCCCGCCGGCCAGCGAAAAAUGGCAAGGGGACACAAACGGAUCCCGCUACGCGAAAGCGUAGCGGUUCCGAGUCAAUACUUGCCAUGUAGGCUUUAUGGGAGAAAAGGGAAUCCCGCUCGUAUUUUAUGACCCGACCCGGGGACAACAAUAUCCUUAUUUAAGGAGCAUCUUUAUCAACGUAUUCUUACCGUAGUAGUUACCGGUGGUUGAGUGUAACCAUGAAAGUGGUUGCAAGUGCCUAGUUCUGGCGCGACACUAUCAAAUUGCGGGGACUCCCUAAAGCUUUAACGACCGCCCCGCCUAUGAAAAUAUGGCGCGGGCACCGGGUUAAUGACCCCGGGUAUGGUAAAACUGUUAAAGAUGCGACAAUGGGUAAUCUGCAGCCAAGUCCUAAGGGCCUAUUGGCCUAUGGACACAGUUCACAGACUAAAUGGUAGUGGGCUCUUCGUGGGCUUAAGAUAUAGUCGGUCCCCCAGGGAAACCUGGGCACACUCGCUAAAUCUGGAGGGAAGACUCUGCCUCGGGCAGUUCCUCCAGACCUGAACGCGUGUGGGCGCCCUUCGGGGUGUCGGGUAGAAUGCUGGUAGCUGGUUCCUGCCGAAGUUUCCCUCAGGAUAGCAGUAACGUUUUCAGUUUUAUGAGGUAAAGCGAAUGAUUAGAGGCCUUGGGGUUGAAACAACCUUAACCUAUUCUCAAACUUUAAAUAUGUAAGAAGUCCUUGUUACUUAAUUGAACGUGGACAUUUGAAUGUACCGUUACUAGUGGGCCAUUUUUGGUAAGCAGAACUGGCGAUGCGGGAUGAACCGAACGUGAGGUUAAGGUGCCGGAAUGCACGCUCAUCAGACACCACAAAAGGUGUCAAUGCAUCUAGACAGCCGGACGGUGGCCAUGGAAGUCGGAAUCCGCUUAGGAGUGUGUAACAACUCACCGGCCGAAUGCAUUGGCCCUGAAAAUGGAUGGCGCUUAAGCGUGCUACCUAUACCUCGCCGUUAGGGUUGACAUGAUGCCCUAACGAGUAGGCAGGCGUGGAGGUCCGUGACGAAGC
rnacentral:rRNA from 1 species